UUUAUGGGAAAAAAUGUGUGUGUUCAUGACAUAUAUGAGUGUCUGCCUAACUUCUUCCUUUAAUUGUUGUUCCAGGUGAGAGCUGAGACUCACGUCCUCGUGUGUCCCUAGGUGAUGGUCGGCAGCCACCGCUCCACCAAUUAGGUAAGAGUAGCCUGAUGUAUUUCCCAUCUAUUAUCUCUAGCUGGAUACUUUCUCAUGGUCGUUUAUGUUCUAGAAUUUUCUCGGUUUCCCUGUUCGAAGUUCCAACUUGUAGAAUACAUGUUUUUGAAGAGGUAAUUGUGUGUUAUACUAAUUCAUGUACUAUCAGAAGUAAUGUUCUUUUUCUCUGAAAUUGGUCUUUAUGUAAAUUUUUACUAUGAAUGGUAUGUAUUGUGGAAGACUUCAGGAGAAAAUUCCACCGAAUGACAUACAUUAAAUUUUAAAUUGCUAGAGUAUUUUUCAAAGGAAUAUAGUUGACGAGCAGCACAAUUUAGAUAUAGGUAUGUGUUGCAUGUUAGUUCUUCGAUCUAUAAAGGAAUUUGUGUACUUAGACUGAUGUUUUCACGAGCUUCCUGCAAAAAGCUAGCCUUACUAGCUUGUGCACAUUUCCUUAACCCAACAGUUUACUUGCGUACUGCUCCAUAAUCUUGUUCUUGUGCUCGAUGGGACAAGGAAAGCAACCACUUGUUCCUAUGCAGACUUCUUUGGUGUACAUGAUGAGUUUUGGAUAGAGGGUUCCGACAUUAUCAGUUCCUUAUUCUUCUGCUACAGGGCACCACCAAAUGGGUGCAAGCAUUAAUCAAUAUUCUUCUGCUACAGAUAUGGGUCAGAUUUCCUUGUUAUUGCCUGGAAAUAUUCUCGGUAUAAGAUCGUUUUGACCCGUGCCAAAUGGGUUGUAAAUUAAUUAACAAGGAGUUGGCCUUGCAGAUACAAACUACUAAUUUUUUGGCGUACUCUUCAUAUGAAGUGUCCAUAUAUAAUGGCAUGUACCAAGUAGGAAUCCUCUCUCGGAUAUAUUUCUCUUCCUUAUGUACCCCCUCUGUAAAGAAAUAUAAGAGCAUUUAGAUAACUACUUUAGUGGUCUAAACGCUCUUAUAUUUCUUUACGGAGGGAGUACUUAUUUCUGACAGACAUACAUGCUCUAUUUUUGAAGGAGAAGAUUGUACUUGCAGGAUCUAAAACCUAUUGAUUUUUGUCGAGGGACAGUCACGUGAGUGAUUGCACUAAAGAUACAGAGAAAAACUGACAUUUCUUCUUAAAUAUCGUAUUGAAGUUCUAUACUCAAUACUAUAGGGUGUACUGAAGGUCAACGUUGCACUUAGGCCGGUUGGGUUCUGAAUAUGCAAGAAAAGGAGGAAAAAUUAGCAAGGAUUACAGAUCUUGGUUCAAGAAAAAUGCUGACAAUAUGUUUUGGCGCAUAAUUAGCUCUGACAGGAAAAAUAUUGUAUCAGAAUUGCAGGAUUCUUCAAUCACCUCAUUAGCAUAUGCCAAAGCCUUGAGGUUACCACUACGAAUGAAGCAAAAUUGUGAAGAUGACUGGGAGAAUGAUUAGCUUAACUUGGCUAGCUUGCUUCAGGUGAAAGGCCGGAGAGGAUCUGGUCUGUGUUGGCCGCACCGAAGUGUGGGAAAAGCUGCAUGUAAGGUGGUGGAGAAGGAUGUCAACGAUGUGGACAUUGUCCCUCCGGUGACGCUGGAAGCCGUCCAAGGGCGGAGGAGGUGCGCCUGUGUGACUCAGGUCAGCAGUGGGUGCUUGCUUCCUCAUGGUUUGUUUAUUCGUUUUUUAUGCAGUACAUAUGCAACUUUGUGCUUGUUCAAUACUAUUGUCUAAAAAUACAGAAAUUUUUGGUGUCCAGUAAUGUGUUGCAAUUCUGUUAUCUUUCA